AAAAAUCCGUUUUUUAACGACACGGAAUCGGAUCAGUAUCAGUUCACUGGUGAAGACUGUGUUGGACUAACUUACAUGAAUGACCUUGGGGUAACUAGCAGCCGUCAAUCCGUCAUAGUGCCCCUAGCGGCCUGACGGUGGAAUAGCUAAAAACCUCAUUUUGAGCACCGUGGCACCGGCCAGCCUGACGAUGCAGAACAGAGAACACCUAAAACCGCAGAAGACGUCAGAAUUUUCUUUAGUCAAAUAGUCGUAACGACGUAACCUAGAAAAGUCGGUUAGGAUUUCAUUUAAGAAUGUGAUAAAAAGUUUCAGCAGUUUGUUUGUUUGAUCAAUGAUGAAUUUGUUCUUUAAAAUAAGUAGAAACAUGCAAAGAAUGCAGCUCUCUGUGAGUGUUUGUGAUUCUGGCUUACUUGCAACUCAGUUUACUCAUCCCCUUUGCUUCAUGUUGGUUGGGGUAAUCAAGUUGAUAUAGAUAGCUGUAACUUUAGUGAGAAUGUGGAUCAUAAUGAAUUGCUAAUCAAUUAGUGUACUUCGUGAAGACGAGAUAUACAUUUGGAGGUGAGAAUAUUAAUUUGUCGAUUUGUCGUCUCUUGCUACCUGUACCGGCGUUGAGUUUGCUGCCGUUCCAUAGACUUGAUCCAUUGGUAAAACUGAGGAGAGGUUGCUGAAAUUCAAGACUCGUCAAUAAAUUAUGUAGAUGUAGACAAAUUACAGGUGCAUAUCUGGGCUCCCUUCUUCAGUGGCCCCGUUUCCCUAAAUAACCACUAACCAACGCCCGCCGGUGGUCACUCACUCGCUGCGACAACCAGGAGGAAGGGAGAUGUUUGGUCGAACGGGGACUUGCAAGGCGCAUGAUUCGAUGAAAUCUGUUGAAGGGUCAUGAGUCUAGCCGGAAGCCUACUAUGAUGCAUUGCUCUCAUAAUAACUUCUCUUCAGCUCUCUUCGCUCUUUUUCCGGGUUCUCUAAACCACGGCCGGGUAAUCUCCCUGGUAGAGUCAGUCGGGCAGUGUCUCCCCCUGCUUGACUGACUGCAGUUUUACCGGACGGUUUGUUUAAUAAAUAAAACAAGUAUAAAAACCAUAUAAUGUUUUCAUUUUAUAAAUUAUUAUUCAUUAAUUAAAUAUAUAUAGAUAACAACUUGAUUAACAAGCAUAUUUAUACAACAUUGUUUAUUAAACAGACCGUCCGGUACAAACUCUUAGUUAGCACUAUUGCUCAAAAACUGAUUCUCUUGAAUCAGCAGACUCGGAGAGUUUAUAGCGCCGUCAAGGUAGAUAUUUCUGAAUGGUACCCGUCUUGUCAACUGCUAAUGAUUCGUUCUUGGUUUGACGGAAGCUGUGUUGUGUUUGUUGAUCGUCUCCACAUGCACGCGAUAAUCAAGACCAGCAACGUCUUGAUCAAGAAGAAGAAAAGAACGGAGAAGCAAAGAACGACGAUGUAAAUAGCGGGUUGGGUACCGCUAAAUUCAUUCUUAGUUGAAUGUCGAAUCGCUAAUACCAUUGUUGGUUAUGGUAGAACAGUUUUCCAUACUGGUACGCUGUAUGACGUCGAGCAUUGCCAAAAUGGAAGUGCUCUUUGAAGAACUGAGCGUCUAAAUCUUCUUCAGUCAGAUGAAGCUAUCGGAUUCGGAAAUCGUUGAAGAAGCAGAGGACAUCACAGCUGAAAAAAAAAACUGAAGCCCUAAUAAGAGGUAAAAAAUAACCAUGAGAAUAUGGGGUCGCAGAAAUAGAUGUCAACUGGUGGAAAAUAAGAAGAAAUUGUGCCUGUUGCACAUCGAUAUUAUUGGCCUUGAUUCUUAAAGGUGGCUUGGCUAAACUUUCGACGGUUAAACUCUAUUUAAUAAAUAGAUAACAUAACAUUUAGCUAAUUAGGAGCUAGCUUUUAAAGGAUUAAAAUUUUAAAAAAAAUUGCGUUAGAAUCUUGAAUAAAGAAAAAGUCUUAUCAGAUCCGAGAUUGACCUGACAAGUCUAUAGAAUGUCUAUGAUUUAACAAAUCACGCCACUGAAGCACACCUUCUUACCUUUAUUCAUGCUCCGGUUUCGGUAGUCACUUUUUAUGUAGCCUUUUUAUGCAGAAAGAAGAAUCACAAACCAAGAGAAACAUUCAUUUAUACAUGAACUAUAAACAGAUUCUACAAACCGGAACAUUUAGAUAGAGACCACUGCUGUUAUUUAUUAAUUUAUGUUUUAGGUUUAUGACUAUCUGAAUGGCUAAUACUGAUCGUUCUUUUGAAUUACGUUUAGCAAACUGAAAAGGAUGUAGAUGGACUUAUUCUAUGAUUUUAUCCCGUCCCGAAUGGUGUUAGCCAUUAGGUGUUACUAGUUUGAGCGGUAAGCACCUGCGCGCGCGGAAUUUUUCUUUGCACGCGAAAUCUAAAAUGCGGGUCGAAAAUUUAUGCUCGCGAACGAACAUAAAGAUAAAAUGCGCGCAAGGCAAAGGGAAAAUGCGCCCUUGGUUACCGCAUUGUAAACUAUCCUAACCUUACCUAACCAGCUAACCUAACUUAACCAAACCUAACAUUUUCACCUUCCCCGCGUUUUAGUGCGUUUACGCGAAAAAUCAAGAAAUUUUCGACAUUCAUUUUAGUUUUUCUCACACCAAAAAUAACUACGCGCAUAUUAGUGUCCGCGCGCGCGAAAACUAGUAAUACCCCUCAAGACUGGUACACAGUCCAUCUGCGUCCUUUUCAUAAUGCUAAACAUUGUUCAAAAGAAGGAUCAUCAAUGUAACACCCACUGAUUCAUUUGAUACCCCACCUUUCAUUUCCUUUCCAGUCUGUCGACGGGGUUCCGUGACCAAUGAAAUCAAACAAGUAAUCAAUUACGAAAUUAGGGAAACAUGGCGAAAGUAAUCAUGAAUUGGAGUUGUUUGACAGACGUCAAUGGGGCAUCGAGCCGAUCCUCUCUUGAACUUGGAGAACCCACCAGGAAAAGAGGUAAAAUUAAACUAAGGUUUGCGCUUCAGAUCAAGAAUUGACAACCGUGCCAACCAUCAUCAGUUCGAAUCCAUCGUUAUCUAAAAAAAAGCCUAUCUAUAAUUUACAAAAUUCAACAUCGAAAUCACUAUCCAUAGAAAAUUAAGCCACAGGGCAAAUCAAGCCAAGACGUUGCGACGUCAUCGGAGCUUCCUUUUGCCCCAUCUUCCUUGAUCAUUCUUUAGGCUUCGUUUUAACACAUUUUUUUUCAAUCGUCCUGAAUAACCGAUCAAUCUGCUAUUAAUUUUUUGUUUACGAUAAUGUUACGAUUAUUGCCUGCCUUGACCGUGUUAACUGUACAUAAUCUGGUUGUGCUUACCUCUGCUGUUUGAUUCUUUUUUAAAACUAAAUUAAUACGUGUAAUACAUUUAUAUACGCCUUUA
rnacentral:lncRNA from 1 species